CCUUGUGGACUUCUCAGCCUCUGUCAGGAUGAAUUGGAUGGGUAUCAUUGUUUUUGUGCACCUGGUUUUAUAGGUCAUAAUUGUGACACAGAGGUAGAUGAGUGCCUGAGUGCCCCAUGCCACAAUGGAGCCACUUGUGUUGACCAGCUUAAUGCUUUCAACUGCUUGUGUUCCAAUGGAUUUCAAGGCACUCUUUGUGAAAUCAAUAUCAAUGAAUGUCACUCAGACCCGUGUCUCCAUAACGCCACCUGUACAGACCUUGUCAAUGGAUAUAACUGUGCGUGCCUAUCUGGCUUCACAGGUACGCACUGUGAAACUGAUAUAGAUGAGUGUGCGUCUUUUCCCUGCAAUAAUGGAGGCACCUGCAUUGACCGGCCUGGUAAUUACUACUGCCAGUGUGUGGCUCCAUUUAAAGUUUGUCAGUAGUCAAACAUGGCCAAUGAGCAUGCUCACUCCCUUUUGGCUUCCCUGCUGACACCUCCUUCCUAUGUGUGGAUGCUCCUGUUUUGACUA